AGGAGAAUAGUUGCAAUGGUAGAAUAAUGGUCUCCAAAACCAAAGGUUAAGGGUUCGAGUCCCUUUUCUCCUG
rfam:Auxenochlorella protothecoides strain 0710 contig1223, whole genome shotgun sequence.